AUGUAAUUUAUUUAACCUCAAUUGUAAGAGAGAAGAUGACAGAGAUGAUAAUAAUGUUCUGAGUGUUUAUAAGCUUUUGUCACGACUCUUUGAGCAACCCCAGCUACAACAAGAAGAACAAGGAGGAGGAGAUUAAAGCUAAAUUCUACCAAUUCAUUCACACUGAUAUGUAAAGUAGAAAACAUUAAAUUAACAAUCACAUGACAAAUUAGAAAUAGCCUCCUUUUGCAUCCUAGCCACCAUCUCAUACACAGCAGCUGCAAUCUCAUUGACAGAAGUCAGUUGACACUCUUCUUCAACCUGCAGCCUCAAACAAUUAAAACACUCAAUGUUCCAUAUUAACAAUAAGCCUUCAGCAUUUCUAUAAGGGGAAAAAAUUAUAAUAAAAUGAUUGAACUAACCUUAACACUAAAAGAAUAGAGUACCAUUUGAUCAACACUUGUAACAUUUAGAUGAAGAAUACUAAGGCAAUGAGAGUACAACCCAACCACCAUCUUCAAUAGCUGUUUUGGGUGUCGUCUUGUUAGUAUUUUGAGAUUCGCAUGGCUUUCUAUCAUUGUCACUUCAACUUCUGCAGAGAUCGAUUGCCUCUUGGCCGCCAUUGAUGACUGAUCAUGAUCUUCUGCUGUUGUUGUUGAACGGGUUGAAUACUGAGGGAAGGUAAAAAAUUCUGAGAAGAGACGAGAAAAAUCACGAGUGUCUGAUGAUUCUUUCUUGAUUCUCUUGUGGCCUUCAAGGGAUUGCAGGAGUUGCUCUAGCUCCUUUACAAAGUUAAUGGCUCCCCCUACGAUUGAUGCCUGGUCUCCCCUUUGAACGUAAGAGGCAGGCAUCAUGGACCGAAGCACAGCAAGAUAGUCAUUCAUUUGUUUUCUCCGAUUGCGUUCCACGUUAAUGUGUGUCAUUCUCUGAUGCUCAACUUCUUUCUGGUUCUUGACACUUCUGCUACGUUUUCUCUUUCGCCGGCCACUAGUUCCGGCUGCAGAAAAUCCUCCGGUGAAAAAUCCAUCACCAGCGCAGUUUUCUUGAAAGGAAGAGUUUGUGUCGCUGUCUUUCACAUUAUUAGGCCCCAUUGAAAACGGUGAAGAAUCCCAGUGAUUUGAAUUGAAACCAGACAGAGUUUCAUUAUAAGCUUCUUCGUCUUCUCCAGCUCCUCCAAGAGAAGUGUAGAUAUCUCUGCAACCAAAACCAAAUAGGUCUUGUUGGAACACCACAGUUUCUAAGGCCAUUUUACCAACCAUAAACUUGUGGCUUUCUCAUCAUGGAGAAGUCACACAGCUUAUUUAUCUUAAAGGGCAAGUUGAUCAGUUAGUCCAACAAUAUUUGCAUUAUUUCUAUGCCAAAUUGCAUAAGAGAUUUUUUUGUACGUUGUGAGAGAGAGAGAGAAUUUAUGAGGAUAAAAUAUUACACAAGUGCACAAAAAU
rnacentral:misc_RNA from 1 species